rnacentral:tRNA from 1 species
GCAUCCAUAGCUAAACGGUUAAAGCACCCAACUCAUAAUUGGAGAAUUUGCGGGUUCAAUUCCUGUUGGAUGCA